UCACAAUGCAUAAUGCGUCACGUGGUCAGAAUAGAAUAUCAGCACUAUUAGCAUUAAUGGUUAGUAAUAAACAGUGGAUCCAUUAAAGGAGAUAAAACCGACGUUACCACCACUUACAUAAUGCUAUUACAGAUAGUACAAGUUCUAGUGUGUAUUGCUUCAUCCUUCACUGCCUUAUUGAUCACGUCACAGUAGCUGUUUGUCGUGCGCCUAUACAAGAUGAAAAUACUGCAAUUGUUAAUAUCCGCCAUAUUUCUUAUAUCCUGCAUUAUCAUAGUUGCGGCAAUAAACAUGGACUAACGAUCUGGCUUCAACUGGCUUUGGUUAUGAACAUUAACGUCUGCGACAUGUCUGCAUAUCCGAAAGUGCGCUAGGCCAUGAGAACACUCAGAACGUAAACCACCAGUGAACAUUAUCAAUAAUGCAAUCACUUGUCAAGGCGUGGUCUAAAGAUCUGGCUGCGACCGACUUUGGGUAUGAAAAUUAACGACUUCGACAUGUCUGCAUCUCCGAAACUGCACUAGGCCAUGAGAACAUUCCGAAUGUGAAAUACCAGUUAACAAUGAGCAUUACCAAUAUAUCACUUGUCAAUGUCUUACAAAUAAAUAUGAUCUAAUCAA